CACCUGCUGCUGCUGCUGUUGCUGAGGAGAUAAUAAAGUUCGACUCUGGUUCAAGAGGCCCAUCUGGUGCUGUUGCUGCUGCUGCUGCUGCAGCUGCUGUUGUUGCUGUUGUAACUGCUGCUGUUGCUGAAGUUGUUGUUGCUGCUGCUGCUGCUGCUGCUGCUGAAGCUGUUGCUGCUGUUG
rnacentral:sRNA from 1 species